rnacentral:rRNA from 1 species
GUAGGUGGCAAGCGUUGUCCGGAAUUAUUGGGCGUAAAGCGCGCGCAGGUGGUUCUUUAAGUCUGAUGUGAAAGCCCCCGGCUCAACCGGGGAGGGUCAUUGGAAACUGGGGAACUUGAGUGCAGGAGAGGAAAGUGGAAUUCCACGUGUAGCGGUGAAAUGCGUAGAUAUGUGGAGGAACACCAGUGGCGAAGGCGACUUUCUGGCCUGUAACUGACACUGAGGCGCGAAAGCGUGGGGAGCAAACAGGGAUUAGAUACCUUGGUAGUCCACGCCGUAAACGAUGAGUGCUAAGUGUUGGGGGGGUUUCCCGCCCCUCAGUGCUGCAGCUAACGCAUUAAGCACUCCGCCUGGGGAGUACGGUCGCAAGACUG